GCAGGGGUAGCCAAGCCUGGUAUGGCGAAGGAUUGGAUAUCCUUUGUUCGCAAGGACUCGUGGGUUCGAAUCCCACCCCCUGCG
rnacentral:tRNA from 1 species